rnacentral:lncRNA from 1 species
UUAAAUCAACUCUGAAGACAAGAAUCUGAUCAGCACUAUACUCCCAACAAUCCUUUGGCUUUAUGUUCUUAAGGAAUUGAAUAUUUCAGUUUCACUCCAUAUCUGAACCACGAAGCAUGACUCUACGCAACAUGGAGCAAGUAGCCUCCAAGAACUCUGGUGAAUAAGUUGGUUCACGUUCCUAAUGUGACCGCCCGCAAGAUUUUCAAAAGAUAUUAACAAGCCAAAGGUCCUACCAUAAAUGGAUUUUUCCCAUUCUCAAUUACAAAACCUAACAUCUGAAGAUAUUCUUUUGUGCUUGGAAAACGCUGUCACUGUAUCGAAUCAUAUCUUCAAUGUAACUUGACAUAAUUUCUCACUGCAACAGCUGCCGGGCAUUCUAUGUAAUUGUGCAAAGAUGUGAUAGAGAUAUAAUAGAGCAUACUGC